CCUACGGGAGGCAGCAGUGGGGAAUAUUGGGCAAUGGGCGCAAGCCUGACCCAGCAACGCCGCGUGAAGGAAGAAGGCUUUCGGGUUGUAAACUUCUUUUAAGAGGGAAGAGCAGAAGACGGUACCUCUUGAAUAAGCCACGGCUAACUACGUGCCAGCAGCCGCGGUAAUACGUAGGUGGCAAGCGUGGUCCGGAUUUACUGGGUGUAAAGGGCGUGCAGCCGGGAAGACAAGUCAGAUGUGAAAGCCCGCGGCUCAACCGCGGAACUGCAUUUGAAACUGGUUUUCUUGAGUACCGGAGAGGAGAUCGGAAUUCCUUGUGUAGCGGUGAAAUGCGUAGAUAUAAGGAAGAACACCAGUGGCGAAGGCGGAUGACUGGACGGCAACUGACGGUGAGGCGCGAAAGCGUGGGGAGCAAACAGGAUUAGAUACCCUUGUAGUC
rnacentral:rRNA from 1 species